UCAGAAAAUCUUCUUAGCAUAGCUGUGAGUUUCUCCAUCCUCUAGUCAUCUCCACGAGUUCAAGCAAGGCCAAGGGAGAAGAAGCAUAGCCGUGAGCAUCCAUCAUCCAUCUCCAACCUUGAAGCUUGCUUUCGAGAUUCAAGAGACCACCACAUCAAUCGUUCAUCACCAUCUCCAUCUCACGGUAUUCAUAUAUUGCGAUUUAUGGUGUACCCUCAAUCCCCGGAAUAGAACGAUCCCUAUU
rnacentral:lncRNA from 1 species